rnacentral:lncRNA from 1 species
GUGAAUUUCUAGACUCCAAUUCCUUGGAGUCUGUUUUCAGAUGGAUUUUUGUUAUUAGACAAUUCUUAAAAUUUAUGAUGAGAGGGUUUUUUCAGAGAUAAUUAGGAAAUGUGAAGGUCUAGUUCCAUUAAUGUUAAUAGAAUUUGGCAUGAAAGCCUUCUAAACAUCUUAGGAAGUCUCAGCCUAACAAUUCCUCUUCAUUCUAGACAUGUUGGAAAAUAUUAAAUACAAUUUGCUUCUAGUAAUUCUGGAAAAUGGUAACUACAAAGCCUGAUGUUUGAGCAAUCCUGUCUUUUUCCCCCAUAGGGCAUUGUGGACCAUUGUGUAACAGGAAUGGUUCUCUCAGAACUGACUCGGGAAAUGGAUCUGGGAGUGCCUGUCCCGUGGGCUCCUGCUGCAGCUGGGAACCUCCUGCUCCUCCCUCAUUCCACAGGAACUCCCUGGCUGAAGGAAAAACCCUUUGAAGUGGCAGUGAUGCUGUUAUGCACCGGUAGAAGAUGGUGUGGUUCCAUUAUCUCCGUAAUGGACGUUGGUUUGGGGAGAGCUUCCCCUCUGUCCUUUCAUCAGGAAUUGGUUUCUUCAGCGCUCAAUGAGUCAGCUCUGAUUCCUUCAAAGAGUGUCUGUCAGGGAGUCUGAGUGCUCUGGGGUAAUCAUUGUUAGGCAAUGUUUUCUUCUUGAGUUUCAGACAGCUGUAAUUCCAAACAUCUCACCAGUUGGGUUUUAAUAGACAUGAUUACCACAGUAAAUAUGUUCGGCUGUUAAGUUUGAAGAAUAUAUUUAUAUUAGCUUUUCGGCAGAUCUUGCAUGUCGUUGCAGAAAGUGUCUCUAUGAUAUGUUGAUACCAUUUUUACAUAAUGAUGCCAUUUUACAUAAUAAUUUGCCAUUUUUACAUAAAUAUUUUAGAGUGCUGCAUGAACCCACUCACUUUUAUUUGUGUUAAAUCUCUUCAUUCAUAUUUGGUAAGACUUAUAUAGAUGUGUUUUCAUUUUAUCAGUAGAAAUCAGAUAAUUUGCUAAUUUCUCAGAAAUUGUGAGGUAUGUUGAUCACUCUUCAUAAUAAUAUAAAUUAUUUUGGUUUAAAAUAUUUUUAAAAACAUUUCAUUUGGAAGUAUCACUCAGGUUUUGACUAUUAGAUUUAACAUGCAUUUGGUUUGCUCAUCAAAGUGGAGAACAUUUAAUAUUUAUUCAUAACAAAAGUAUUAGAGAAGCUGUCAAUAAAUUUUCUGUCAUAAUUGAAUCA